rnacentral:rRNA from 1 species
CCCCUAGAUGUUCUGGGCCGCACGCGCGCUACACUGAACAGUUCAACAAGUCUUAACCUUGGCCGAUAGGUCUGGGUAAUCUUUGAACGCUGUUCGUGAUUGGGAUAGACCUUUGCAAUUAUGGGUCUUCAACGAGGAAUUCCUAGUAAACGCAAGUCAUCAGCUUGCAUUGAUUACGUUCCUGCCCUUUGUACACACCGCCCGUCGCACCUACCGAUUGAAUGGUCCGGUGAAAUCUCGGGACGGCGGCUUGGUCGCUUGCGUCCGACUGCUGAAACUUGAUUAAACCAUAUCAUUUAGAGGAAGGUGAAGUCGUAACA